AACACACUUCCUUAGAUCCGCUUCCAGAAUGUGUGAUCAUGUGAUGACAUCACAUCAUUUCAUAUUACGUCAUUCAACAGCUUGUUGCUGCGUCAUUGGAAGUGCAUGAGUCAUUGGUGUGUGACAGUAUCAUACCUCCAUGUGUGUGUUUUCAUGCUUUGUGUUGUGUUAAACAUCUCUGAAAUGUUUCAUUGAUGAUUUGACUUUGUUAUUACACAUGGCCAACUGCACUGGAGACAUU